GGGGCUGAUUCUGGAUUCGACGGGAUUCGCGAAACCCAAGGUGCAUGCCGAGGGGCGGUUGGCCUCGUAAAAAGCCGCAAAAAAAUAGUCGCAAACGACGAAAACUACGCUUUAGCAGCUUAAUAACCUGCUUAGAGCCCUCUCUCCCUAGCCUCCGCUCUUAGGACGGGGAUCAAGAGAGGUCAAACCCAAAAGAGAUCGCGUGGAUGCCCUGCCUGGGGUUGAAGCGUUAAAACUA
rnacentral:tmRNA from 1 species